AACGAACGCUGGCGGCAUGCCUAACACAUGCAAGUCGAACGAGACCUUCGGGUCUAGUGGCGCACGGGUGCGUAACGCGUGGGAACCUACCCUCAGGUUCGGAAUAACUCAGAGAAAGGUGUGCUAAUACCGGAUGAUGUCGUAAGACCAAAGAUUUAUCGCCUGUGGAUGAGCCCGCUUAGGAUUAGGUAGUUGGUAGGGUAAAGGCCCACCAAGCCGACGAUCCUUAGCUGGUCUGAGAGGAUGAUCAGCCACACUGGGACUGAGACACGGCCCAGACUCCUACGGGAGGCAGCAGUGGGGAAUAUUGGACAAUGGGCGAAAGCCUGAUCCAGCAAUGCCGCGUGAGUGAUGAAGGCCUUAGGGUUGUAAAGCUCUUUUACCCGAGAUGAUAAUGACAGUACCGGGAGAAUAAGCUCCGGCUAACUCCGUG
rnacentral:rRNA from 1 species